rnacentral:rRNA from 1 species
GUGGGGAAUAUUGGACAAUGGGCGAAAGCCUGAUCCAGCCAUGCCGCGUGUGUGAAGAAGGUCUUCGGAUUGUAAAGCACUUUAAGUUGGGAGGAAGGGCAUUAACCUAAUACGUUAGUGUUUUGACGUUACCGACAGAAUAAGCACCGGCUAACUUCGUGCCAGCAGCCGCGGUAAUACGAAGGGUGCAAGCGUUAAUCGGAAUUACUGGGCGUAAAGCGCGCGUAGGUGGUUCAGCAAGUUGGAGGUGAGAUCCCCGUGCUCAACCUGGGUACUGCCUCCAAAACUACUGAGGUAGAGGACGGUAGAGGGUAGUGGAAGUUCCUGUGUAGCGGUGAAAUGCGUAGAUAUAGGAAGGAACACCAGUGGAGAAGGCGACUACCUGGACUGAUACUGACACUGAGGUGCGAAAGCGUGGGGAGCAAACAGGAUUAGAUACCCGUGUAGUCC